rnacentral:rRNA from 1 species
GAUCAUGGCUCAGGAUGAACGCUGACAGAAUGCUUAACACAUGCAAGUCUACUUGAACUUCGGUUUGGGUGGCGGACGGGUGAGUAACGCGUAAAGAACUUGCCUCACAGUUUGGGACAACAUUUGGAAACGAAUGCUAAUACCGAAUAUUAUAAUCGAAUGGCAUCAUUUGAUUAUGAAAGCUAUAUGCGCUGUGAGAGAGCUUUGCGUCCCAUUAGCUAGUUGGAGAGG